AUUGUUCCAAGAGUGUGUUGGACGAAAGCAGGAAGUGGAACCUUCUUAAGGUAGGAACGAACUGCCUUAAGGAAGUCGAUGCUUUAGGUCCGUCCACGAGGACGACGCAGCUAGGAGUUAGAGGUUUAUAUUUGAACACACGAGCUAGCCAUGUGAUCAAAACAUGUUUUUAUUUUGCUGUUAAUAUGAUAGUUUAGUUUAGUGGUUAUGAUAGUUUAGUGGAUUUGAAAGAAUAUUACA
rnacentral:precursor_RNA from 1 species